CUGGAUGGACUUGUGUUCAUUGUAAUUUUUCGCGAAACGCACACCGACAAACUAACAGUUUUUAAGACGCUCAUCCACGAAAUGGUACAUGCAAUCAUGAUAAAGCAGAAUAUCAAGGGGAAAUCACACGGUAAAGAAUAUAAACGUCUUGGCAAAGAAGUGUCUAGGGUAUUGCAAGUAAACCUUCAUGAAUUUGAAAAACCAUAUUGUGAUUUAGUGAUCGACGAACGUGAAAUAUUUAGUGCUAGAGGCUCAUGAGUAUAAAGUUUUUUCCACUAAUAAUUGUUCAUGUGUUUAUGUAUCAUAACACAUAUUCAACUUUGAAUAUCUAAGUUGAUAAUCCUGUCAUCCCUGCUGUUGUAGGAAUAUACUCAAUUUUGAACAUUUAACAUGAUGAUCUUGCUAUCCCUGCUGCUGUUGGAAUAGACUUAACUUUGAACAAUUAACAUGAUGAUCCAGCUGUUGAAUCUUUGCUGCUGUUGAAUAUACUUAACUUUGUUACUUUGAAUAUCUAACUUGAUGAUGCUGUCAUCCCUCCUGCUGUUAGAAUGUACCUAAAUUUGAACAUUGUUAUUUGACGAUCCUGUCACCAUGCUGCCUUGAAAAUACUUUACUUUGAACAUUGUUAUUUGAUGAUCCUGUCAUCCCUGAUCCUGUUGGAAUAUACUCAACUUUGAACGUUUCACAUGAUGGCUUCCUACAGUUGUUGAAAAAUGGCAGCGAAAAAUAAGAUCUUCAAAACGAAACGAAAUAAUUUGCUAUUUAUGCAAAAUAUGCAAUUUUUUAAAAGUAUAAAUGCUUUUGCAAUCUUUAUACUGAAGUACAUUCGUUCGAAAGAAUCAAAUUAUGUGUUGCCAUGGUAACAAUGUGACCCAAGCGACAGCAGUCAGACAUUAAAUUUUACACAAAAAACGAAUUUAUUAAAUUUCCUUCGGUCAAAGUUUCUAAAAUUUUGUAGGGGUAAAGGGAUUAUCUAGUGGGAGAUUAUAUAAAAAAAUUAGGUGGAGUUAUAAAUUGAACUUUUGCCGAGAUAUCACACAAAAUUUGUUCCACAAAACCUGCUUUAUAGAUUUUUUCAAAAAUUGAGUAUAUUGAACUAAAUGACCAUACUACUUUAAAAAAACCCAAAAUUUUAGAAAAAUUGACCGAAGGAGAAAUAAGUUACUGCAUUUUAGGGGCCGGUUGUAUAUUAAACUCUUACUAUCACUUCUUUAAUCACUAUUUUGUAGUUAAACAGUGAUUAGCUCUCAAAUACGCGCAUCGUUAUAUAUGGCGUGCCGAUAUGGACAAAAAUACUUCUUUUUAAUAUGUUACUUGUUUUGAGAUACAAACAUGUUUGUCUGAUAUAAAUAUAUGACUUGUGGAUAUAAGAUUUCGAAAUCGUGGUGAGCAAUUUAUUAGAAACCUAAUAAUUGCUUGUCGACAUCUGCACAAAAUCGUGAUAUAAGCGAUAUAAGUCGUUGAAACUCAGCAAGCAGUGUUCAACGACUUAUAUCGCUUAUAUCACGAUUUUGCUCCACAUGUCGACAAGCAAUUAUUAGGUUUCUAAUAAAUUGCUCACCACGAUUUCGAAGUCUCUCAGCUAUCUCAGGUUCUGAAACAAAUAGUAUUUCGAUGCAUUUCUUGAUGCAUUUCUUCGAUGCAUUACGAUGCAUUUCUUCGAUGCAUUUCAUUACUAGUAUGGAUUAAUUUUGUCCAUUUCCUUUGCUUGUUUGUUGUCAAAGUUUCCGCCAUGUUUGGAUUCUUUAAGGGAGGAAUGUCAUGAAGUAGUUCUCAAAAUAGUUCGCUGAACGUUCGCGGGCGUCAUUAAAGUCAUAUAUUUUUUAAACAGAAGUAUUAUAAUUUUCAAAAAGAAGUACUAUAUUUUUGAAAUAGACGUCCUAGUAUAUUUUGGAAAUAGAACUUGGUAUAUUUUUGGAACAGAGGUUGUAUAUCUCGCAAAGAAACUCUGCAUUUCUCCACAAGUCAUAUAUUUAUAUCAGACAAACAUGUUUGUAUCUCAAAACAAGUAACAUAUUACAAAGAAGUAUUUUUGUCCAUAUCGGCACGCCAUACUUCGUAUUGGAUGACGUUUUCCACUAACUAUAUAGUUAACUUUAAUCACUUUAUUGUACAACCGGCCCCAGACCUUGUGUGGCGAGAUGAAAUGUUUGCUGACGUGAUUUUGUUUCAACUUUUAUACAGCUCAUUUUUUGGAGAUGCAUGCACGUUGGGAAAACUUUUCAAAACAUCCGUUUAAAAAUUAACUGCAAGUUUGACUUUUCAUCUUUGCCAAACUUUGGUCCUUUCAUAAAAUUUAUAAAUGUAGGACUUUAGUUUUACAUUCACUUGUUUGAAAAGAUAUAAAACUACAUGUAAAUGUAGUAAUUUGAGUCGAAUGACAGGAGUUUGUUUAAAAUACAUUUAUUGAUUUAAUAUGAAAUAUCAAUUUUAAAAGAACAUUAUUAACACGAUAUUGAACGUAAACACGAAUAAAAACACACUGAAAUAAAAGAUAGCGUAGAAACUGAG